CAGAGUGACUUCACUUCAACCGUCACUUUUCAAUCAUGAAUCUGACUGCAAUUUUCAACUCUGUACAAACAUCAUAUUCAAGUAGGUGGUGUGAGGACUGCUGCCCUGAGAACGCUGUGUCAGAGACACUUAGGCUGUGUGCAUUUUGGAAUGUUCCAAAUGUGUGUCACUUCCAUAAGGAAGAAGUUCCAAGCCUGCAAGUGAGUUCACUCACCAAAUAGAGACACACGCAUAUAGCAUUUAAUAUGUGUGCAUGUACUGUAUUUGUGUCUGUAACUGUUUAGUUUAUCCCCUCCUUUCAUGUGUCUGUUAUGACUUUGUGGGCUCAACUGUCAACAACUGUCCAGGGCGAAGUCGGUCAACCCUGAUGGCACUACCUGAUGGCACUACCCUGAUGAUGUCUGUUAGCCAUGGCUGCUGCCCUCAACAUGGUGAGCCAUCCAGAAGUCCCAGCCUGGAGCCAGAGGCUGCUAUUGCAAGUCAGAUGGGAGAUGGCCUACAGUAUGUUAGGCAUCAGAAAAGUGGUGUUCGCAUGAA